UGUGAAGACUACAGCACUCCACUGAAUGC
rnacentral:piRNA from 1 species